rnacentral:rRNA from 1 species
UACGUAGGGUGCAAGCGUUAAUCGGAAUUACUGGGCGUAAAGCGUGCGCAGGCGGUUUUGUAAGUCUGUCGUGAAAUCCCCGGGCUCAACCUGGGAAUUGCGAUGGAGACUGCAAGGCUGAGAAUCUGGCAGAGGGGGGUAGAAUUCCACGUGUAGCAGUGAAAUGCGUAGAGAUGUGGAGGAACGACCGAUGGCGAAGGCAGCCCCCUGGGUCAAGAUUGACGCUCAUGCACGAAAGGCGUGGGGAGCAAACAGGAU